AUGGGGCAGACUCAACGUUCAGGCUGUGGAGGGAGCUCAGCAUGCUGGAAGGUCUGUUGGAUGGAGCAUUUCCUCUUCCCAGAGUCCUGCUGCAGCAAGAACUGCUGGUGUCUGGUUUACCUCCUAGGACUUGUACGGAGAAAGGAUGUUCAGAGCACCUUCACUGGAAGAGAGAAAGCAGAAGCGCCGUUGCACAUGCCCCGCUGCUUG
rnacentral:lncRNA from 1 species